rnacentral:rRNA from 1 species
GGUCUCCUACGGGGGGCAGCAGUGGGGGAUAUUGCACAAUGGGGGGAACCCUGAUGCAGCGACGCCGCGUGAGUGAGGAAGUAUUUCGGUAUGUAAAGCUCUGUCAGCAGGGAAGAAAUGACGGUACCUGACCAAGAAGCCCCGGCUAACUACGUGCCAGCAGCCGCGGUAAUACGUAGGGGGCAAGCGUUAUCCGGAUUUACUGGGUGUAAAGGGAGCGUAGACGGCGAUGCAAGCCAGGAGUGAAAGCCCGGGGCUCAACCCCGGGACUGCAUUUGGAACUGUGCCGCUAGAGUGUCGGAGAG